AUUGAACGCUGGCGGCAUGCCUUACACAUGCAAGUCGAACGGUAACGGGCCUUCGGGUGCCGACGAGUGGCGAACGGGUGAGUAAUACAUCGGAACGUGCCCGAUCGUGGGGGAUAACGAGGCGAAAGCUUUGCUAAUACCGCAUACGAUCUACGGAUGAAAGCAGGGGACCGCAAGGCCUUGCGCGGACGGAGCGGCCGAUGGCAGAUUAGGUAGUUGGUGGGAUAAAAGCUUACCAAGCCGACGAUCUGUAGCUGGUCUGAGAGGAUGAUCAGCCACACUGGGACUGAGACACGGCCCAGACUCCUACGGGAGGCAGCAGUGGGGAAUGUUGGACAAUGGGCGCAAGCCUGAUCCAGCCAUGCCGCGUGCAGGAUGAAGGCCUUCGGGUUGUAAACUGCUUUUGUCCGGAACGAAAAGCCUUCUUUUAAUACAGGAGGGUCAUGACGGUACCGUAAGAAUAAGCACCGGCUAACUACGUG
rnacentral:rRNA from 1 species